AUGGCUAGCUUGGAAGGUUUCGAGUUCUUCGAGAUCGUAAUUAAGAAAUCUUGCAGUAGGCAGAGGCUUCCUGACAAGUUUGCAAAGAUGCUCGCCGGCCGUGAGCCCCAAAAAGUGAAGCUGCGGGAGGCCGGCAGCAGGAGUCGCAGGCUAUGGGACGUGUCUAUGGUGUUCGACGGCGAAGGCCACAUGUACCUAGGGCCUGGUUGGGAGCAUUUUGCCCGCGCCCAUGACCUGAAGCUCGGACACUUCCUUGUCUUCCGCUAUGAUUGUGACGCCAUGUUCACCGUGAAGAUGUUCGACAACACCAUGUGCUGCAUGUACUACUAG
rnacentral:rRNA from 1 species